AGGAAGUGGGACCAAAGGAACACAUGGCAGACACAAAGCAAUAUGUUAAGACACAAGACAAACAAAGACAACAUAGACAAAGCUGCCCGGUCAGAGCCCUCACACAUGCUGUAUCAGCACAGGAGGUUUUGACCUCCUUCUAGCUCCACCAAGUUCAGCACAACACCUCCCAAACAGGUGUCAGCCUCCCGCGAGAAGCUGAAUCGGACCCCAACCGUCACCCACCGAGCGAAGCUUCACUAUUGAUCUUCACUGUCAGUGAGAGAUAUAAAGCAGGUAUUCGCUAUGAUGGGUGUGGAGGGAUGCCACUCAACAUCACCAUCCAAGACAGCGAUCCCACGGGAAACUGAACACAGAGGCCCAUCCGUCACCCACUGAGGUGCUUCAUCAAACUCUGUGAUGAGUGAAGCUGUGAUGCAAAGACUACCAAUUCUCUGAGAUGUUGGCUUCUGAUAGGAUGUCCUGCUUUUGUAUUAUACAUUUUAUUAUUAGUAAGUCACUGAAGACUAUCGAGUUUGGAGUAUUU